rnacentral:lncRNA from 1 species
AAUUAAAUUAUUGUAUUCCAUUUUAUAUUUUUUCAUAUCGGUCCUUAGUCGAAAAAUAAGGAGGAUAUGAACAUGAUUAUUCAAUCACCAUGUUUAGAAAUGAUGACUAGAUCACCAUCUUCAACUUAACAUGGCUGACGUGGCUAUUUAUGCAAAUAUAAAUUUGCUCAAGCCAUUUGUGAAAAAAAAGAUUUGAAGGAGCUAAAUGCAAAAAACCCUAUAGGUUUAUCAAUAAUAAUCUUAAAUAUUUAUUAUUUAUUCAGAAACCCACAUGGAAAACAAAGGGUCAUUUCUAUUGAAGUUUUUUGGAGUCAAUCGUGUAAUAAUAAUUUCGAUGCUAAACAUAAAAAUACACACUAAAUAAUCUGUUUUUAACCUCAAUACAACUAAAUCCGCGAAGGAUUAUGUUAACUAGUAUAAUAAUUUUUACUCUUUUCAGGGUGUUAUAUGUAAAAUGUCAAUAAUAUAUGUAUUGGUUUUAGGGUUAUGGAAAUCAAGCCCUAAUACCUUGUUCCCCCAAUUCUCUGUUUACCAUCAUGGUAUCAGAGCCAUAUCUCCAUUGAAGAAAAAAAAAGAAAACGGGAGAUGAGAGGAACACUCGAUAGUUCCCAAUCGCGUUCUUGUUAACGAUCGGGGCCUCCACGACCAGGAUCUCUAGCCACCAUCGUUCCACGAUAAAAUAAAAACAGCAGGGCGAUUUGGUGACAGCGGCUAUCUCUUCUCCACAGGCCACGACCAUUAUUAUCAUCCCAAUUGAGACAUGUCUGAGGACUCGGAAGUGAGUGGAAGCAAGACCACUGCCACUCGUAGUGAGCCAAAGAUGGUUGCGUCGGUGACGGAUAGUCCCUCUCUUCAGAUCAGUCCGAUAAAACUUGAUGGUCACAAUUAUCUCGCUUGGUCUCGAUCCUGUUUGUUGUUUAUUAAGGCCCGAGGCCUUCAAGACUAUAUAACAGGUACAAAGAAGAGGCCAGCAGAUGAGGAUCCUCUCAUAAACCAAUGGGAGUCAGAGAAUUCCCUUGUGAUGUCGUGGCUUCUAAAUUCUAUGCAAUCAGCAAUAGGUUGUGGUUACUUAUUCCUUGAUUCUGCUUACAAGAUCUGGACAGCUGCUGCUCAAACAUACUCUAAAGUUGGCAAUGAUGCUCUUGUGUAUGAAAUUAGGAAGAAAAUACAUGAGACUAAGCAAGAGGAAAUGACCGUGGCGCAGUAGUUUGCUGAACUCAGCAGUUUAUGGCAAGAGCUAGACUACUAUCAAGAUUUUCAUGCUGAAUGUCCAGAAGAUACAACCAAGUUCCAGAAAUUGAUGGAAAAAGAAAGAAUCUAUGAUUUUUUAGCAGGCCUUCAACCUGAAUUUGAUCCAAUCAGGGUUCAAGUGCUUGGAAGAGAUCCUUUCCCUUCGCUACGAGAGGCGUAUGCAUAUGUACAACGAGAAGAAAGCAGAAGGAAUGUGAUGGUACAUCAAAUUACUCCCGAUAAAUCAGCAUUGCUUACAAACCUUUCUUUGAGGAGCGUAACAGGAAAUCAGAGCAAAGUAGGUGCUCCGGGAGUGGUCGAUAAGGACCAGCUUAUGUGCGAUCAUUGUGGGAGGACAAGACACACUCGCGAGACAUGCUGGAAACUUCAUGGACGGCCUACUAGAGGACGAGGAAAAGGUGGAUUAGGGAGAGGAUCUGGAAGAAGGCAAGCAUAUCAAUCCGAAUUGAUGGAGUCUUAUUCUCAAGAGGGAACUCCAUUAGGAUCUGACAACUUCUCUCAGGAAGAUUUGCAAACACUUAGGAAAUUGAUGUCCAAACUUGAUUCUAGUUCUAGUUCCUCUAAAACUACAAUUGCCUCUGCAUCUAAUUUUGCUCUUUCAGGUAUGUCCAUUAGUGCUUUACAUUCCGUUAGGAAUAAUAUUUCUCCUUGGAUCAUUGAUUCUGGUGCUUCUGAUCAUAUGACGGGUGUGUCAAAUCAUUUUUUAUCAUACUUUCCUUCUUCAGGCAAAGAAAAAGUUCGUAUUGCCGAUGGUUCUUUUUCGUCUGUUUCUGGCAAAGGUUCUAUAGCUUGCACUUCCGAUCUAACUUUGUCUUCAGUUCUUCAUGUUCCUAGUUUUCCUAAUAAUCUAUUGUCUAUCAGUGCUAUAACUAGGGAUCUUAAUUGUAAAGUCACUUUCUUUCCAUCCCAUUGUGUUUUUCAGGAUCUGGAGACGGGGAGAACGAUUGGCUUUGGUAAAGUGCAUGAUGGGCUUUAUCUCCUAGAGGAAGAGUCAGAAAGAGUAUUUGCGCAUCAUUCCGCUCAUCAGACUGAAGUGACGUCGACUUGUCAAGAGAUAUUCCAAUGGCAUCUUCGACUUGGUCACCCUUCUUUUCAAAUAAUGGAGAAAAUGUUUCCUCAGUUAUUUCAGAAGUGUAAUCCUGAACUUCUUACAUGUGAUGCUUGUGAGCUUGCAAAGCAUACGCGUGUUACUUAUUCAAUUAGUGAUAAUAAAAGCACUUCUCCUUUUGAAAUUGUUCAUUCAGAUGUGUGGGGUCCUACUAGGGCGGCAUCUAUUUCUGGAUAUAGAUGGUUUGUUACUUUCAUUGAUGAUUACAGUCGUACAACUUUGGUGUAUCUAAUGCACAACAAGAAUGAAGUGUUUUCUUGUUUCAAACUAUUUCAUAAGAUGGUAGAGAACCAAUUUAGUACUAAGAUCAAAAUUUUCCGAUCUGAUAAUGGUAAAGAGUAUAUUGAGAAUGCAUUUCAAAAUUACCUACAUGAUCUUGGAGUCUUACAUCAAACUAGUUGUGUUAACACCCCAGCACAAAAUGUAGUGGAGAGAAAAAAUCGGCGUUUACUUGAGGUUGCUCGUUCGUUGCUAUUUUCCAUGAAUGUACCAAAAAAUUACUGGGGUGAUGCUAUUUUGUCGGCAGCGUACUUGAUUAAUCGAGUGCCACUGCGGGCAAUCAACUUCAAAACCCCUCUUGAAAAAUUGUUGGGUACUACUUAUUAUACUGUCCUUCCGAAAGUAUUUGGGUGUAUUUGUUUUGUGCAUGAUCACCGAAGGACGAAUGAUAAGCUUGAUCCUCGGGCUAUGAAAUGCAUUUUUAUUAGGUACUCUACUACACAAAAAGGGUAUAAAUACUAUCAUCCAUCUUCAAGGAAGACGUUUAUCACAAUGGAUGUAACAUUUAGGGAACAUGAGGCGUACUAUUCACGUCCAUCUUCUGAGGGGGAAAAUCAAUCUGUGAAAGAACAGAUGAAUGUAUGUACAACUGAUGUGCCAAAAUGGACUUCGAUGCUUAAGUUUCCUCAAGCAGAAGAGGAAGAAAGAGAAAGAUGAUGAGUCUCAACAAGUUGAAGAGGAAAAUAAGAAAAAUAAUGCAGAAGAGGAAUUUGAACAGCUGCAAGAAUUGGAAGACAAUGAAGGGAACAAAGAAAAAGAUAGAGUUGAGGGGGAGGAUAGAGUUGAGGGGGAGAAAGUACGACAACAUGCUGAGGAGACGAAUGUUGGCGAAUGGCAAGUGUACACAAGAAAAAGGAGAAAUAAAGCCAUCUUGCACUCUCCAUCUAGCCAAGAGUUAUCUCCGGAUCUAGUUCCUUCUUCUCAACUUCAAAACCACUGUAAGUCUUUAACAAACGUGCAUCCUAUCAACUCUAUUCCUGAUGAUCUCAAUGUUCCUAUUGCUCUUAGAAAAGGUGUUAGAAAUCGUUCUAAACAUCCAAUCUCUGAUUUUAUUUCAUAUGCUUCAAUGUCUCCUUCAUAUAGAGUCUUUUUGUCAUCUUUAUCUUCUGUUUAUGUUCCACAAAAUUGGAAAGAGGCAAUUGUAGAUCCCAAAUUGAAGGAAGCGAUGCUUGAGGAGAUAAAGGCUUUGGAAAAAAAUAGAACUUGGGAGCUUGUCAACCUACCAGUUGGAAAAAAUAUAGUAGGAUGUAAAUGGGUUUUUUCAGUGAAGUUUAAAGUAGAUGGAUCUAUUGAGAGAUACAAAGCCAGACUUGUUGCAAAAGGAUUUACACAAACUUACGGAAUUGAUUAUCAGGAAACUUUCGCUCAUGUGGCAAAAUUGAACUCUAUUCGCAUUCUUUUGUCGUGUGCUGCCAACUUAAGUUGGGACCUACAACAGUUUGAUGUGAAGAAUGCUUUCUUACACGGUGACCUAAAAGAAGAGGUGUAUAUGGAGCUUCCGAUGGGGUUCUCCUCAGAAAAGACAGUUGGAAAAGUGUGCAAGCUAAGAAAAGCUUUAUACGGCUUGAAACAAUCACCAAGAGCUUGGUUUGACAGAUUUAGUAAGGCAUUGCUGCAAUUUGAGUAUAAACAGAGCAAUGCAGAUCACACUAUGUUCAAAAAAAGGUGUAAUGAAAAAAUUACUAUCCUAAUUGUUUAUGUUGAUGACAUAGUGGUAACAGGAAACAAUUCAGAGGAAAUAAGAAAGCUUAGAGAUUAUCUCGCAAAAAAUUUUGAAAUAAAAGACCUAGGAAAGUUGCGAUAUUUUCUUGGUAUUGAAGUGGCAAGAUCAGAUAAGGGUAUAUUCAUAUCACAACGAAAAUAUGUUUUAGAUCUACUCCAGGAAACAGGUAUGCUUGGAUGUCGACCUAUAAAUUCACCAAUUGAGCCAAAUCAUCGCUUGAAAGCUGAAGUAGGAGAAGUGGUUGAUAAGGAGAGAUAUCAAAGGUUGGUUGGAAAAUUGAUUUACUUGUCCCACACUCGGCCAGACAUAGCAUAUGCUGUGAGCGUAGUGAGUCAGUAUAUGCAUGAUCCUAGAAAAUCACACUUGGAGGCAGUUAAAGUUCAUAUUCCAACGAAUCACACGUAGAGAUAUUGAUAACACACAUAGAGUUAAUGGUAUUUCAUAACUAAUAGAUUGAGCAGCAGGUCGUAGACCACCUAAAAAGGAAUAUUUAUUUUGAGGUACCUAAAAUCAGCUCCAGGAAGAGGGCUUCUAUUUCUAAACCAUGGUCACCUGAAGAUCGAGGCAUUCAGUGAUGCAGAUUGGGCCGGCUCUCUAGAUGAUCGGAGAUCUACAUCGGGUUUUUGCACACUUGUAGGAGGUAACUUAGUCACCUGGAGAAGCAAGAAGCAAACAGUUGUUGCCAGAUCAAGCGCAGAGGCAGAAUAUAGAGCAAUGGCACAAGGCACUUGCGAGUUGCUUUGGAUAAAAAAAUUUGUGGGAGUUGGGGCUACAGCAUACUACACCACUAAUGUUGUAUUGUGACAACACGGCAGCUAUUAACAUUGCACAUAAUCCAGUACAACAUGAUAGGACAAAACAUGUUGAAGUUGAUAGAAAUUUUAUUAAAGAAAAGCUGGACAAAGGGGUCAUCUGCAUUCCAUUUGUUAGGUCACAGAACCAACUAGCAGAUAUUUUAACUAAAGGAUUGGGGAGUAUGACAUUCAAUUCUAUUAUAUACAAGAUGGGCAUGAGAAAUAUCUAUGCACCAUCUUGAGGGGGAGUGUUAACUAGUAUAAUAAUUUUUACUCUUUUCAGGGUGUUAUAUGUAAAAUGUCAAUAAUAUAUGUAUUGGUUUUAGGGUUAUGGAAAUCAAGCCCUAAUACCUUGUUCCCCCAAUUCUCUGUUUACCAUCAGAUUAGAUAUAAACAUAUAAUCAAGACACGAAGAAUCACAUGCCAAAUACCAAAAAAUACAACUCUGAAAGAAGGAUACCAAAAAGCUGGCGCAGAAAUAUCACAUAACACAUGGUUUUGAAUGAACAGAAACCAGUAAUAAGAAGCUAAAAUAGGAUGUGAAAAUUUAGGAAUAUAAGAAGGUCUCUCGCGCGCAAUCCUUGUAUUUGUAUCUCUACUGUAUCUUUAUCACUUCACAGUUUUUUGUAUCCGAGCAUAGUCCUGCAGAAAUUUUUCAAAGGAAAAAAAUGAGUCCAAAAUCAGUAAGCUAAGAUGGAAAAAGAAAAAGAAUGCAAAUAGUAUUUUUCUACGUAUUCCGAUUACUAAUUGCAAAGUGUUUCGUCAUUUUUUUCAUAAGUGGAUGCAAAAAAACAAAUAGCGUAAUAGCGCACUAUGCACAUGAGCAUUUUUCUCUCUGAGAAGAGGAAAAGAAGUUCUGCUGAUUCGCCAAACUUUUCAUACAGAACCUAAAAAUGCACCACGUGCUAUGCGAAAGUGAGUUAAACAAAUGUAGAGGUACCAAUUCCUGCCCUUAUAUUCUAGCUACAGUAUAAGCGGCAAAACAUUUCUGAUUGGGCCUCUCCUACUGACAAGGAGAUGUACAAUCCGAUUAAGUACAUAUUCUGCAUCCAACAAAAGGGAGGUAAUUUCGGCUAGUCUCCAUAGUUAUAUUAAUCAGCUGAAAUUUUUCUCUCAGGAGAUCUAGCUUGAACCCAGAUCUUCUAAAAGAAUCCAAAAUGAUAGCCAUAAAUAGGCAUGGAGUUAGUCGUUGCUCUCCCGCGUAAAGAGUCCACGAUUAAUUUACGUAUCAUGAACAUUAUUGAAUGUGGGUUCGGCAGUGAGAAUGUAAUUAACCACCGUUCAGCGAGCAUCAUUCCACAAAUCAUCCGCAUUUUCUCAACCUCUGAUAGGGAAACUUUUUCACAUUGAAUAUCAAAUUGUACAUGUAAGUAGGGACAGCGUACCUCGCCGUCGUCGUCAUCAUCACCCUUCUUGAGGCGCGUAGUUCCACCCUCUCGGCUGAUGGGCAACUUCAUGUUCCCGAAAGGAGUGUCCACAUCAAUAUUUCCUUUUAUGGUAUAACCAGUACCCCUCCCCCUAAGCAUAUCCCAAAGAGCGGAUCCGAAGUCCUUCGGCUUGAAAGAAAUCGGAAGCUGCAUUGAAGUAAUUCCACGCUUCGCAAGUUUCGUGGAUUGAGUGAGCUCGGCAGAUCCAAUGCUCACGUCUGUGAGCCAAAUCUGAUAAUCCAGUGCAUUGAGUCCCAAGUCGAAGUCAUUUUUGUUAUCCAAUUUCAAAUGGAGGUUGGCAGUCGUUUCCUCGAACGAGAAUUUUUCAAACUUUAUCUUUUCAACAUCAACAUCUGGCUUAUAAGGCACGGGAAUCUCACCGGUCUUCUCUAGAGGCAAGGUGAGCCUUCCGAGAAUAGGCACAUCCACAAUGAGAGCAACCCUUAUCUUAUAGGGGAUGAUGCUUCCGGGCUCGAUAUCUUUGUAUGUGCUCUUGAUAUCGUCAUAGAUAAGUACUACAGGUAUCUUGACGGUCUCUGAACCAUGAGCAUGUAUUGUUCCCGCGUCAGGGAUUAAACCCGACACGAGUUUACGUCCGUCACUUUCAAUUAAGUAGUCUAUGUCUACGAGAGGGAUCGGGACAGGAUUGGGGUUUGUAAUCAGAACAUCGACAACGAUCUCAGCCUUCUCUAGAUUGAUGUGGGGAAUGUGGACACCGGUGACAUCUGCAGUUGGCUUUCCGAACCCUAUCGCCCCCUCGAUCUUCUCGCCAAUGUCCUGAAUAAAAUCUUUAACCUUCUCCAUGAAACCACCCUUCUCUUCUUCCUUGUCUUCCUCCUUGUUCUCUCUAUCUACUCUUACUUCCUUUAUCUCUGGGUUGUCGGAGGAUGCCAUGCCUAAAAAUACCCGAUGGCACGUGUUAGAAACAAGAAUAAAAGAAACAAUUCCUAGAAAAUCAUAAUAAAAUUUCCAUUCCAGAACACAAACAACUGCAAUGCGCUGCUUAUAAUUUUUAGAAAAGCUAGAUUCCUAGAAAACAUAUGAACAAGCAAAUAAUACCAACUAUACUACAUAACAAUUCUUUCUUUAUCUUCGUACUAGAAUGGCAUAGUUACAUGCUUCCUCAAAUGGAGAACACCUUUUCCUAUGAACGAAACAAUAACCUCAUGAGCAAAUUAAAUAAUGCAUCAGAUCAGGCCGCUAUAUGAUCCCAAGACAUGUAUUUAUAAAAAUAAAGGGACAAAUCGAGAACUGACCAAGUAGCAUAGAAAAAACAUAGCAGUAGAAUAUGGAACAUUUAAGUUAAAAAAAAAAGAAAAAGAGAGAGAACUAGUGACAUAAAUUUUCACUUUAACUUGACCACAAUUACAAUUUACCAGAAAUCCGUUUAUACGAGAACGAAAGGAUGUCAGACUACCAAGAACCAGCAUUCUGAAACUGUCAUCCGUACUAAAACUGUGUUGGAGCAUACUAGGAAUGUUUUGGUUCAGUGUAGGGUAAUUCUUUUUCGAGACCAAGACAUUUGCAUAAGCAAUUAUGAGAACAAACCAAACCGAAACUAAUAUGCAAACCAAGGUGAACCAUUCUAAAUUGUAUUGAGAAUUUGUUCAGCUAAAAGAACUAGCAAAAAAUUAAACCGAGGAAGUAAUAUCUGAAUUGAAUAGAAUCAAAUUAAAUCUGACUUGGAUUAGUCAGGUAAAACCAGUUGCUAAGAGCAAUUUUUCGACUUUUAAGUCGUAGUAUUUCUCCUUUAGUGGAUUUAUUGCAACAAUCCAUUCAUACAACAUGCAUGACUUCUCCUUUAGCGGAUUUAUUGCAACAAUCCAUUCAUACAACAUGCAUGACUUUUAUAUCUAAUCAUGCCAUGAAAUUGCUGUAAUGUGACAUAUUUAUACUGUAUUUAUUUUGACAAAUAUUGUGCCAUUGAUACAUAUCUUUCUUAAUGAACAAUCAAACUGUGAAAACCACUAUGCCCAAUUUAAGUUGCCAAAUAACAAUAUGGUAGCAGUAUACAGAUCACACAUCAACUAACAGUGCAUUUAGAAAAUAGGGAUGACACUCCAUUAGUCCUUUGGAUGAGAAAUGAAUUAUUAUUGGGAAUAUAAGGACCGGGGGCUCUAAUAAUAAUAACUGGACUUAAGCAUUUUGAGCUAACAAGUUACUAGUAUUAUAGGUGGGACGUUACAAUUGGUAUGCGAAAUUUAAAAUGCUUGAUUUGGACAAAAUAUAGAGACUUUUUUUUAAAAUCAAGCUUGUUGAAAUUAGGGAUGUCAACUGGUCGGAUUCAGGGCGGGUUUUCAAAAACCCAAACCCAAACCCGGCUACUAAACCCGAACUACAACCCAAAUCCGACGGAUUUUAAAAAUCCAUAUCCAAACCCGAACCCGGCCAAAAAUUCGAAACCCGAACCCAAACCCGAAACAAUUAUUUUUCUUUACCAUAUUUGAGAACAUAAUACAUUAAAUCAAAGUUUUAAAAUACAAAGUCAAAUAUAACAUCAAACAUUUAUAUAUAGUAUAUAAUGUAAAAUUAAUUCGGAUUUGGGUUCAGGUCGGGUACAAACAAAAUCUAUACCGAGUCCAAAUCCCUUAGGAUUUUAUCUUUUAUACAUGUAUCCGAAACUACAUUAAUUUAGCAUCGAAUAAACCUACCCCAUUCAAGUUUGGAUUCAGAUAAAAGUUCGAAUAUCUAUACCAAUUGACAUCUCUAGUUAAAAUCUAUAAUUGGAAAGCUAAACUUGCCAAAAUUUCAUUUGUAAAAAUAGGUAUAUAUUUUGUCACGUGUGUGCGAUGCCAGCAGAUGAGAUUUAGAUAGCUAAAUAAUGCGGUAAACAAUUUAUUGUCUUCUAUAUUAUACUAGUUACAGUUAUUUUAGUAUCGUGAUAUAGAAAACAGUGAACCAUUUGGCGGUAAAUGAUUCCCCACUUUCUUUAAACUCCGCUAACGUGGCGCUGCUUUUAGGUCUAUUUUUAUAAAUAAAAUUUUCACAAGCCUAUAUCUAAAUACUUAAAUUUUGACUACCCUUCUUUUGAGAAAAGCUCCAGAAUAUUCCACCAAAAAAAAGGUUAUUAUAAGCACAGGUAGAAAAAAUAAAAAAUAAAAACUUUUAAAAGUUCUGAAACCCAUUUCAAAAGAUACCGCAACGUUGGGUAUUAAAAUCAAAAUUUUUAAAGCCCGUGAGCUAAAUAUCCAUCAGGUAAAAUUGUACGGGACUUUUCUGAAUUAUGUUCCAUUUUGAUUCGACGAUCCUUUCUCAAAAAAGAUCAUAUCGGUUUUAAAAAUUUUAAUUUUACUAUUUAAUAUUUUAAUUUAUUUUAUUUGAGCAGUACGAAGGAUCAAGUAACAUAUAUUCAGAUUAAAUUUUCUACGGAACGAGCUAUUAAAUGAUUCAACACAGGAAAUGGAAAGAGGGGAUACCGAAAUUAAAACUUUUUUACUUCAAAUCAUAAUAAAUAAAAAAUAUAAUAGGUGAGAGAUCAAUGGGCCACAAUUCACAAACGCAUCAAAUAAAACACAAAAACAAAUCAAACGGUUCAUAAAUUGUAGCUUAGAAUCACCAAAAAACAACUAAAAAUCAAAGAAUUAAGACACGAAAAGAGGAUAAAAGAAUUCAGAUCGCGACGGGAGUACGAAGCUGGGAUCAUCCUCUUUAAUUGAUCGAAGUAAAAAUUUUUGGGGAAAAAAAAUGGGGUAAUCGAAUCAAAGAGGAGAUGAGGGGGAAGAGGAUUUGAGAUCGUACCUUUCGAAAUUCGAUCCAAAAAAGCGAACGAUUUUGAUCGGGAUCGGAGGAUAUUAGCGGAGCGAGAGGGGUCGUCGGCCUUGUAAUUAGUAUUUGGUAAAAAUGUACAGAGACCCCCUCAAGAAUAGGAAAAUUUGAAAAAAUGAUCUAAAAUCUUUUUUUUGAAUAAGACCUUGGUUUUUAUAAUAAAGUAAUUUAAGUCAAAAAUAUAAAUUUCUAAAAGUUUUAUUAAUUCAUUGUUAAUUUCAUCAAUUUUAAUAAAUUUAAUUAUUUUUUAGCAAAUAAAACUAAAUUUAGAGUCACUAAAUUUGAUGAAAUUUUUUUAACUUUACGAAGUAUAAAAACUAUAAAUACUAAAAUAAAAAAAAUUAGAAGUUUAGAGGAUCUCAAUCGAAAGAAAUAGUUGAGGGUGCUCAGAAUUACCUACCGUUUAGGGUUCUCCAUCGAUUAAAAAAUAUACUCAAAUUUAAUAAUGAAAAAGGUAUUCGUUGAUGUAAACCAAAUGAAUUAGAAAAUAGUAUCAAAAUUAUAACUAUUUGGUCACUGAUUAAAAUAAAAAAAAAUUUUAGAAGUUUAGAGUAUCUUUAGUAUUUUUUUCAUAUUUCCAUACAAAUUAUUAUGGUAUGUAAAUCACAAUAAUUAUUUAUAAUAUAAUUUUUACAAUUUGACCCAAAAAAAUAUAGAGAAAUAUAUUUUUACAUAGGCGUCAAUACCUAGUAAAUUUUUAUUCCGGGUAUUAAAGUGGAGCGGUCUAUUUUCAAAUAUUUUAUAGCUAAGGGUCCCAAUGCAAUUUUCACCUUAUCCUUACAAAUUAGAUAAUGAGAGCCUUUAAUGUGAUACAUAACUGUAAGAUGUCGGCAGAUACGAAUAAAAAUUUGAUGACACGAAUCUCAAAGCAGCAUAACGAGCGGUUGGGGGGCCUAGAGGUGGGGUGGAGGAUCUCAAUGUGAGACCAUCCUAUUCGUCAACUGAUGUCAACAUAUCGGAUUCGGGCCGGAUUUUCAAAAAUCCCUAAUCCAAAAUUCGAAACCGACGUAUUUUAAGAAUUCAUAUUCAAAUUCGAAUCCGAUAAAAAAUUUGAAAGUCGAACCAGAAACAAUUAUUUCUCUUUUCAAUAUUUUAAAAUAUUUUAUAUUAAAUUUAAAAUUUUAAAAUAUAAAUUCAAAUAUAACAUCAGAUUUUAUAUACAUAUUAUAUAUUAUGUAAAAUAAAAUCGGAUUUGGGUCGGGUUCGGGUAUAGGUCGGGCACAAUCAAAAUUUAUAUUUGAAUCCAUAUCCGUUGGAUUUUUAUUUUUGAUAUCCAUAUCCGAAUACAUAUCCGUUUAGUACCGAAUAAAUCCGUUGCGUUCGGAUUCGGAUUCGAAUAAAAUUUCGGAUAUCCGUAUCCAUUGACAUCCCUACUUGUGUUCGGCUCAUUUAUUAACGUGUCGAACGCGAGCUGAAUUUUUCGAUUCAAUACUUAACUAACCGGCUCAUGUUUGAUUUGUUUAUUAAACGAGGCGAACACGAGCCGGCCCUAACUCGCUCGUGUUAAGCUCAUUGACACCUCUAAGUAGUACGACAUGGCAAUUUGUCACAUACUUUUUCAUUUUGUGACAUAUAUGAAAGGAGAAAGAAAUAGAAUCUUCUCCUAUUUUUGCUUUUCUUUUUCUUAUAGUGGCCAAACAGCUACAUGCAUGCCUAGACCAAGUAUCUUAUCUUCUUCAUAAUUUCUUCUUUGCUGCAUGUCAUCCUAAAGUAUAAGGGAUGAUAAAGAGGGAUCAAACACUGGCCACUGAAAAAGCAUAAUGAAGGAUUCAAGAAAGGUGCAUUAUUUAAGGCUCUUUUUGGUUUUUGAAAUAAACCAAAGACAACAAAAAUUAUUCUUGUUAUUCCCCCAAAUAGUGUAAAAAAAAUAACAAUAGCUAUUCUGGUCAAACUGAAUAAUUCUAGACAAUUCAAAAAUAAUUUAGAAACAACUAUUCCAUCUUCUAAGAGGAAUAAAACUAUUCUCAUACUAUACUAUCUUAGUAAUUGUUGUACAGUGAUAAAAAAAAUUAUGUUUAUACUAUAUAUAUUAUUUUUAGAUAUAUUAAAAUAUCUUAUAAUAACAAUAUAAUAAGAAUAUAACAUUAAAAUAUCUUCUUCUUCUUAUUAUUAUUAUGAGUACUGCAACAACUACUAGUGUUACUAUUAUGUUAUAUUAUAUUAUAUUAUAUUAUAUUAUAUUAUAUUUAUCUUUAUUAUUUUUAUAAAUUUAUAUUAUAUGUUAUUCUAUAAUAUAUCAUAUUAUAUAAAAUAAAAUACUAUAUAAUGUAAUAAAUAAAUUAUAUAUAUAAUGUUGUAAAAUAUAUCAUCUUUAAUUAUUUAUUUAUAUUAUUUUGAAGUAUUUUUUAUACAUUACUAUUGAAGUAUUUUAUAAAAUAAUACGAUUAUAAUAUUAUUUUAUAUAAUAUUUUAAUUUUUUAUAUUUNUUAAUAUUUAAAAUUGAGUGGACAAUUCAAAAUAUGAAACUAAUUUUUAAUUUGAACCAGAUUCAAACUUACAAUUAAUUUAAAUUUUAAAUUUAUAGAUUAAAUUCAAAAUUCUUGAUUGAAUUUAUAUUUUAACUUAAUUUCUAAAUAAAAAAUCUAGAAUUAAAAAUUUAAUUUCUAAUUUUAAAUUAGUAUUUGUAAUUAAAAAUUAAAGCCAGAAACUAAAUUUAAUUUUAAAUAAAAAAUAUAAAAUAUAAUUGAGAUAUUUUCAUAGAGUGUAUUUUCUCACCUGGAUUCAUAAAGUGCAUUUUUUCAAUUUAGGCCGGAUUGAAAAAAAGAGGUGAUUAAGAAAAUUUUUAUUCACCCAAAAAUCGGAAUCAAAAUGGAAUUCUCGUAUACCAAACAUCUACAAAUAAAUUCUCCAUUUCGACUUUGAUUUUUGGAUAAAAAAAGGGCGAACCCAAUGUAAAACUAUCUCCUUAGCGAGGAAUUCUACACGGUCACACUUGCACCUGCCACGACGUAAAGUUAGUAGUUAAUUUUAGAAAAAACUUUUUAAGUAUCAUCCAUGAUAUUUUGCACUUUUUUAUUAUAAUUUAAAAUAUACCACUUCAGUACCUGUAAUUUUAUUUUUACUAUUUUUGUUAUUUUCUAUGUUAAUUUUUUCGUUAAAUUAGUGACAAAGUUAAAACUAUAUAAUAUUAUUAAAGUGAAAAUUCGGUAAACCACAUAGUACUAAAGUGAAUAUUCGAUGGUGGGAUAUGUGAAGUGUUUUGUAUAUGAUUUAAUAGAGGAUUAAAUUGAGGUACCGACGAAAAGAAAAAAAUAAAAUCACGAAAUAUUAAAAUGAUACACUUUACACUAUAGGAUACUAGAGUGAAAAAAUGUGAAACCACAUGGGUGGUAUUUUAAGUUUACUCUUAAUUUUAUGAUUUGGAUCCAGUUGGACUCUAGUUUGGUAACGAGCUUUAAAAAUUACUUAAGUUUAUAUUUGGGAAAAAAUUAAAGAAUUAAAAAGUAUUUUUAUUUUUUUUGUUAUGCAAUAAAAUUGCACUGAUGAGUGUCACUAGAAGAGAAUGUAUUUACACUUCUAAAUUUUUUUUUACCAUUGUAAAAUAUAAAAUUAAAUAUUUUAGAAAAUGCAUAAUCAAACUAGAUCGAUGUGGCAAGGGUCAUCUUCUGUUUUUUGAGAUAAUUUUGUACAUGAAAUUCGCAAUGUGAUAUAUUUUUGGAAUAAUUUCCUCAAUACCGUUCUAAAAAAAAAUAUAAAAAAAUAAAUAAAAUAAAAAAUAAAAAAAAUUAUUAUUAUUAUUUAUCAUAUUUAGAAAUUAUUUGAUUUCAUGUGAAACUAGUUCGAAGAUCUAAAAUAUUAUAAUAAUAAAUUUUAAUUAAUAUUUUUAUCUUGUUAUAUCAUCAUAACUUCUAANGUUAUUAGUAAUAAAAUUAUUUAAUAAAAGCAUAUUGUCAAUGAUUAGAAAAAAAUAUUAAAAUUACUUAAAUAAAUCAAUAAAAUAAUAAAAAUAUAAAAUAAUAGAGAAGAUAUUAUUUUGUGCACCAGGUGUAUGAGAAAAAUUGAAAACCUAAUACACAAUACCUUCUUAAAACCCCAGAAAUUCUAUAAUUCUAUAAAUUCUAUAUUUUUUUAUAUAGUUUAGAUUAGAUUGCGUGUAUUGGAUUAGAUUUUGAUUUUACAAUAUUAAUCAUUAAAAAAUAGAUUUGAUGUAGGUAAUUUAUCAGUAGACCGGGUGUAGGCAAUAAGUUUUCAUUGUUAAGAAGGGAAAGUUAGGACAAAAUUUUACGCACCAGGUGUAUCAGUAAAUUUUAUACACUUCAUUCUUAAAACCCCAUUAUAAAAAUUUAAGCCGUGAUAAUUUUUUAAAUAUAGACAUUUUAUGUAGAGUAAAUCAUAUCAUAACUAUUACAAAAUUUUGUAUUUUUAUUUUGAAUUUAUUAUAUAAUAAUAAGUAUUUGUGUUUUCAUAUCAUUCACAUAUGGGUAUGCGUAUUCGAUCCAGACUCAAUCUGUACUCGAUUUGGAGCAGGUAGUAUACAAAUAAUCACUAUCCAGACCUGCUCAAUUGAAUCCGAUUGGUACAUUAAUAUAACUUAAGUAUCCAGAUCCAAACUGUUCCGAAGUUGAAUAGAUAAGGUAUGUGUUUUUUCUACCCAUUUUUUAGGAUAUGAGUAUAGUAUAUUACCUAUACAAAUCCGAUAUGAUCCAUAUACAUCUCUAUUGGCACGGCGGUCAUGUAUCUUGUGGAUAUUUUGUCGGCAUAGUGGCCAAGGCUCUUGCAGAUGAACACUUAAAUCCUUAAUCGAACGUUUUCUUCUAAUUAAUGGGGGAUUUAGAAUUCACUUUACUACUUAAUUUUUUUAAUUUAUUAAAAAAAUUGUAAUAUUGGGUAGAUGAAGAGUGUGAUGCAAUUAUCUUAAAUAAAAUACAAUCUUGAUCUUCAGUCAUUAUUUCGAAGUAAAAUAUAUUAUAUUUAUAAGUGAAAUAUGAUAUUCUACCAAAUGAAAUAUGAUAUUCUACCAAAUAAAAUGAGCAAAAUUCAAACUCUUUGCUUCCAAUCACAUAAAAAAAAAUUUAUAGUGAAAAGUUAUUAUCAGAUAACUUAUUCUGACAUCUAAAGAAUAUUUUUUGAUGGUAACAAAGAUUACAUUCUAGCCAUCCUUCAUUAUUCAAUAAUUCUCAAAAAUUAUCCAAAUCAUUUGUAGUCUUUAUUGCAUAAAUGAGCUGUUGGGAAAAAUCCGCAACGAAUAAUUCGAUUGUGAUAAAAUCUAACAAUUUUGCGAUGAAAUUAACAAAAUCAACUCACCGAUAAUCGCUAAAUUUCAAAAUUGUGGAAGAAGAAUAUCACAAUAUUAAUCCAGAAGCGUACGAAGCGGACGUGCGCCGAACUGUUGCGCGCGGAGCGGACGUGAGCCGAACGGACGCGCGCGGAAAGGACGCGAGCGAAACCAACGGAAAUAAUAAAAAAUAAUAAUAAUAAGGGAUUUUGAAUUUUACAUCAACAAUCCCCACAAAAAUUCAAAAUCUCAAAAUAAAAAAAAACUCAAAAAUAAAUAAAUAAAUCACUAAGACAAUAAAUAAAAAAAAAUCAAAAAUCAAUUAAUUAUCAAACCCCUCAAGUAGGGACUCCCAAACUUGCAACAGCAUUUCUGUUUCUUGAUUUAAUUAUCACUUCUAACAAUUGUAUAUAUUGCUGGCAGUAUACUAGCUAUUUGCUUGCAUCAAUGAUUUAUUUAAAAUUAUCUAAUUAAAAUUUUAAAAUUAUUUGGAUCAUCUAUUUGUUGUUAAAUCAAACCUAUGUAAUAUGGUCAAUAUCAUAUUUUUAAAAUUUUAAUGUAUCUCAGAAUUUGUGGGGGAAAACUCUUUUAUAAGUUGACAAAUUUAGGUGUUAUGAUGGUUUCUUAUUUUCACUCAUUUUGGGCGGCGAGUGCUUGAUUUUAAACAAAAUGAUAUAUUUUAAGACUAAAAGUCAUAUAAAGUUGAGAUAAAAGAUUAUCAAAUGAUUAAUUUUAUCAUAAUGUUAUUGUUUUAAAUUUUAUCAGAUCUGAAUAAAGUUUUGCAGAUUACUUAAUGAAAGGCCUGAACAGGACUAAGCUCUUGAGAUCAUCGAGGGGGAUGAGGCUUUGUCCAUAAAGGGCCUUCCUGCAGUGGGAAUCCAACAUUUGUAAUAGGAAAUCUCUUGAAGAAGGUUCAAUAUGGUAAAAACAAGCUGUCAGGUUGGCCAAAGAGCACUUUCUACAAAUUUUAUAUAGAAACUUUAGCUCCAAUCCCAUCCCUAUGGUGAGUAGUACUCUGUGUAGUGGAUUUGGUUGAGCUGAGAGCUCUUAAUGGGAUCUAAGGCAAUAAUUUUUGCGAAAUGUGAUUCUACAUACAUCCCUAGAGGAAACCACCUAUAUAAGAGUAUCCGUAUGUGGCCGCGGUUAUGUGAUAUGGGCUAUCCAUAGAAACUGUUAUGAAAAAUCAAGGUACUGUGCAUGGCCAUUUACGCACAGACCUGCGACGGAGAAUUCUGUACUGUGUGUGUGGUAGUUGAAGUCAUGGCCAAAGGAACGUAGUUCAAGAUCUGGUUCACUCCGAUUCCUUCUGAUGGAAACUAUUUACACUAAGUGAGGUUAAGUCUCUUAAAGACACAUCACCCAUUACAUAGUAUAAAACACCUAGUGAAUUUGAUUUUAAUUCGUAAUUUUAAAAUUUUGAGUUUUGUGGGGGAUUGUUGGUGAAAACUCAAAAUUUUGAGUUUGAAUUUAUUUUAUUUGAACUUUGAUGUUUUAUUAUUUAUUAUUUAUUAUUUUAUUUAUUUAUUUUAUUUUAUUUUAUUAUUUUAUUAUGUUUCUUAAUGAGAAAGAAACUAACGGGAUAUUUUUCCCGUUCAAUUUCUUAGUCCGUUUCUUGCGUCAACAGAAUCUCAGUCCGUUGCGCGAGAUACGCCUUUUUCUCGUAACGAAAAAGGGCGUUAAAUUCCCUUCAUCUUUUCCUCCUCUGUUUUUCAGAUAGAAUAAAACAGAGUAGGUACAAAAGAUAUUAAAUAAUUGAUUAAUCCUUAUUUUUUAAUAUUUCAUUUUUUUAUCCACUGGGUGUUGAGAAUCUUCGUCAACCUUCUUCACGAUCGUGCUUGCAGGAGAAGGAAUUCCGGUCGUACCUUGGCGUGUUAUUUCCGAUUAAUCCCGCACGUAAGGACGGGAAUAUGCCUUAGGGCAGUGCCUCGUACGCUUCCUGUCACGCCCCGGAUGUCUCGUUCCCCGGGUACGCUGACAAAUCCGCCGUAUACAAAGAAAUUUUUCCUGUAUACGAAGCGUCAAAGUACCUGUAGAAAUACAAUACUACAAACGGUAGCAUAGAGCUGCUCAAAAAAAAAAUAAGCUAAAUAUCUGAGUUUCAUAUACAUAGCUAGAAUCCAAAAUACAAAGCUACUCGUACUGGCGAGUUAAAUAACUAUGUACAUAAACUCCAAAACAAAACUACCUGCAGUAGGGGAAAGCCUCUAGCUCUGACUGUCGGGUAGGGCUCUAGCUCGCAACGCCCUUGCCUCGAUCCUGAUCGGCAGAAGAUGCAGCAGCCGGCACCUGUGGCUCUGCAAAACAUAAGUAACAACUGGGCGUGAGAACUACUGUAAAAACAAGUAGUCCUCAGUGGGUACCGCCCAAAACGACAUCGGUCACCCACUAAGUCUACAGAAGGGAGCAAGGAUAGAAGGAAAAGCAGGAAGUACACUCUACCGCUAUCAUCCACUACACUAUCAUGCUCUACACUAACCAACUGUAGGAAAUGUCAAAUCUGACCCAAUCCAAAUCGGGACUGUAAGCAUACCCGUCCCCGGGACUGUGAAUACACCCGUCCCUGCCCCGUUGCGACUAUCGGGCUCUAUCCACUCUAACUGGUCCGUGGAGAGCAAGAUCAAAUGGAUGAGUGGACACAACGCCGAAAGCACAACGCCUGACUCCGGAGGGCACUCGUGGGUGCUACCCAACGAGUAUCUCAGCGUAUUGCUCGAGCUCAAACAGGCGCUCGGAAAAGCAAAAGUCAAGAAACCGACUCUAAUGUUUAAAAGCCAACAGGGUAACGUGCAUCUGCACAAUCUGACGCCAAAAAGGCGAUACGGGUUCCACCGUCAUUAACGGCACCAACAGUCCGAAAUAACUGACGGACCGCGUAAAAAAUCACUCGGCGAACCAGCACGAGUGUAAAUAUAUUUUAAACUAUUGGCGAGUAUCGUCUCAAAUACUGCCGACAGUUACAUUUGUCUUAACUGGCUCUAGAGGCAAUACAAUCAGGCAGUUUAUACAAGUGACAGGUCAAAAGCGCGAAUUUUCUCCUUAUACAUUUUCAAUCAAGUCCCAAAUCGUAUAAUAUACUUAGUUUAAAACAUGCGUUGCCAAGAUUCACAUUUCACAAUCUACAGAUAAUCAGUGAAUUUUGAGCUAAAUUAGAAUACGAAAUCAAGAUCCUGAUACAUGGUUGACCAAUAAGAACUUAGUGAGUAAGCUGAUGUUGUGUAACCGACUAAAAUGCUAAGUUCCCCAGCACUAGGGGACGUCCUGAAGCAAAGGAACACCCUGCUGGAUCAAUCCGCAAACCUCCAAAGGCCAGAAAUCACGCUCCCGCCAAACUCUACACGUAAAAUCCGAAAAUGAGCACCGAUUCUGCCUCAAAAACAGCAGCAGAGAAGAGAAUAAUUCCGACCAAGAAAACCUCCACCAAAACCAGCAAGUAAGGGCUUCGUGGAUUCCUCUCGAAGUCCCGAAUCCAACGAACCAAGUCUCGUCGAAAUCCGCUGCUCCUACGUCGAGAGGGAGUCGAAACGCCGACGGUCGACGCUGGAAAUUCUGCAAAUCAGCACCAAGCUCGAAAUGACAAUACUUGAAGCAAUGCAACGGAACACUCACCUCAAAGGCUAAUCGGACAUUGACGCGGCGUCGAGAACGACGAAAACGCACCCUCGCCUAGCUUCCUCGCAGCGCUACGAUGACGAAGACCCGCUCGAACGGCACCGUGGCGCGACGUCGACGUCGAUCCGAGCUCCACGGCAACUCCACCCGAGUUCGAGCUCUCCACCUUGCCCACGAGCUAAAUUAAGGAGGGAUAGAGAGAGAAGGCUAAUUAGUUUCAAUGGGUUGAGUUGAUAAGUAUCAGGAGGGAGUUGGUGAGAUACUUAUCCACCUACUUAAAAGAUUUUUUUUUUUUCCUCACCAACUCAAAAGCUAAAGGUACUACACUUCCGGAUAAGAUCAAAUUUUUAUUAGAAUAUUUGCGUCAUCUGUAAGUUGAUUUAUUUAUCUUUAUUAUAAAUUAGUUAGAUUUUAAUCAAAAUCAGAUUUUCUUUGCGGUAUCUGUUCUAACAUGAGCCUAAAUCUAUAAAAAUCUUGUUGUCACUCCGUCAGUCUAUUUUACUUGCAAUUUGCUUUGUUGAAAGCUACAAAGAAAAUCGGAAAGUGGAAGAGAAAUCCAAAUUAAUUUGCAAAAAAUAUCAAAAAAAGCGCUUUGUCAUGACUUAAAAAUUUUCUCCAAAAUUCUUUUUUGCAACCCCUCAAACUCUAAAGGGGAUAUCUGUCGGAGGUGUUAUCCAAAUCUUCUAAAAAUAUCUCUACAGAAUCAAGACUGAUGGCACGGAUACCGAAAAGUCAAGAGCCUCUUGGGAUUUCUAGGUUUCUAGAAAAUAUAUUUGUUAGAAACUCUUAGCAGCUUGUAGACUUCUAUUUUGACUUGUAGUUUUACGUCACUUGGCACUUUUCUGUUUGAGCUAUGGGCGGCGAGUGGUCUAUAAAUAGAUGUAACCUCUACCCUCUCAACUUAGACUCCUUAUUUAUAAUCCUCUACUUCAAGCAAUAGAAAGCUAAGAGCGUUCCUCUCUCUUUCUCUCUCUCUCUCUCUCUCUCUCUCAUACUUAGUUUUAGAACGAGUAGAUUCUGACUUAGUAAAUUGAGAGGUAGACCUGCUCACUUCGCGAAAGAAGGCGAGGGGCGCAUGAACUAGACAUGCAAUUUUCCUUUAAGUCUGUCACAGCUAUGACUUGAUAUUGGUUGUCCUACUAUAUCUUUCAAUAAAAUCCAAAAAAGAAAAGCUAAUAGAAGUGCAUUAGUGAUAGGUAAAAAAGUACGAAACUAAUAUCAAAUAUGGAUAAUUUUGAAUUAGCUAUCAAAUUUUUCAAAAUUUUGAUUUUACUGUCCAAACUUUCAAUUUGUUUGACUUCAAUUAGUCGAUAACAUUUUGACUUCAAAAAUACUAUUUUAUUUAAAUUUUGGAAUUCCUUUUUAUGUGAAAAAUACUAUUUGAAUAGAGUUGUCCGCAAAAAUCCUAAUAACUUUCUACUUGAAAUUUCCUCGCCAACUUUCCACUAAAAAGUAAAUGCACAAUUUAGCUUCCUACGACAAUAGAAGCGUUUGGACUUUUUAUUUGUUUGAACUUUAGGUAGGCAUCAUGGACACUCACAUGGGAUACAACACUAUUUGGACACAGCAACUCGACAUCUUUAAAAAAAUUAGGAUACAGACCCGGUUUGGAAACAACUAAACAUAAUAUUAUUAUAUUUAUUAUAAAUAAAUAGUUAAUUUUAUUAAAAUAUUAUUAUAUUUUUCAUACGAAUAAAAGUUAAUGAAUUUUUUAUUGAUAAUUCAUAUGGUUGAAGAAAGAAAAUUCUCUGCUAUACAUAAUUUAUUAUUUAUAGUGCCAAAAAAUUUAUAUAUAUUCAUUAAAAAGUUAAAAUAAUUAUCAUUUAUACCUAUAUAUUAAUUCCCAAAAGAAAUGUCAUGUGGUUGUGUUUCUUUUAUUGUUGGGUUUUAUCCCGCAAAACCAAUCCUUUGCCUUCCCUCUCCAUCACCAUAAUCUUAACCGUAAACCUAGAAACCCAUCCAAAAGGCUCAAUCCUUCGUCUUUUCUCCGCACAUAAUGUCUAUUAAUUAAUACGUCCAUGCACCUUAACUCUAAUAUAAUCGUAAACCGUAGAAAUCCACGCAAAAACCCCCUUCUCUCUGUUAGGAUUUGAUUAGAUUUGUAGUUGAAUUCUAAUUGGAUUAGAAUUAAUUUUUAAAUCUGUUAGAGAUAAAUUAAAAUUUAAAUAUUAAUUAGAAUUUAAACCUAACUAGAUUAGAAUUAAUAUUUAAAUAUAUUAGAGAUUAAUUAAAAUAGAUUUAGAUAUUAANCAGCUCGUGUUCGGCUCGUUUACUAAACGAGCGAUUCGAUCUCGAGCUCAUUUCGAGCCGAACACGAGCUGGCUUGCGAACAGCGAGCUGGAUUGCCACCCCUACUACCAUUCUAUUUCGUAAAUUAAAUAAUGUUUAAAGCAGCAUGAUCGGAGAAUAGAAUGUUUGUACGAUGAGUGAGACAAACUCAUCUGCCAUUCAUCGUAAGAGUGGUAUGAAUUUUAAAGUCGCGUGGAUGGUAAGAGAUAGUCUCACUUUAGAGACUAUCUCCAGUAGGGCACAUUUGGUUCAAAAUGAAAAAUGAAAUCAAAAUUGGAAUCGAAAUGUAUAGGAAUCGAAGACGCAAUGAUAAAAUCUCACAAUAUGUCUGGUUCAUAAUAACAAUCGGAAUAAGUAUGAUUGAUUCAUACUUUCAGUGUUUUUUAAAAAAUUGAUUAUCAAAAAAUAACUAAAAUAAAAUUAAAAUUAAAAUUAAAAUUAAAAUUAAAAUACAAAAUCUAAAAAUAAUUUAAAAUUGAGUUUGCACUUCAAAGCAUAAAAUUAAAUUUAUAAUUUAAAUUUAAACUAAAAGUUAAAUAUUAAAAAUUUACAUCAAAAUUUUGAAAUGAUAAGCCAAAAUUUAAAAUGUAAUUUUUUAAAAUUUAAUAUUUAAAAUUGAGUGGACAAUUCAAAAUAUGAAACUAAUUUUUGAUUUGAAUCAGAUUCAAACUUACAAUUAAAAAUUUAAAUUUUAAAUCUAUAGAUUAAAUUCAAAAUUCUUGAUUGAAUUUAUAUUUUAAUUUAAUUUCUAAAUAAAAAUCUAGAAUUAAAAAUUUAAUUUCUAAUUUUAAAUUUGUAUUUUUAAUUAAAAAUUAAAGUCGGAAACUAAAUUUAAUUUUAAAAAAAAAAUAUAUAAUAUAAUUGAGAUAUUUUUGUAGAGUGUGUUUUCUUAUCUGGAUUCAUAAAGUGCAUUUUUUCAAUCUAGGCCAGAUUGAAAAAAAAAAAAGUGAUUAGAAAAUUUUUAUUCAUCCGAAAAUCAGAAUCAAAAUGGAACUGUCGUAUACCAAACAUCUACAAAUAGAUUUUUCAUUUCGAUUUUAAUUUCUGGAUAAAAAAAUGGCGAACCGAAUGUGAAACUAUCUCCUCAGCCGGUAGUCCUGCGAGUCUCAAUCAAUUUAAUUUUUUGGGCGGUGACGGGAUACAUGAUGGGAAAUGGUGGGCCCGCCGUGGUGCGGUGACUCAAUGUGCCACCACGUAAAGUUAGUAGUUAAUUUUAGAAAAAACUUUAAGCUACCGUUUGGUUCGGGAUUAAAAAAAAUUAGUUAUUCUAGAAAUAGAAUUAAGUUCGGGAUUAAGAUAGGGUUAAAGUAUUUUUGUGUUUUGUUGGAGGUUGGAGUUAAUCUAGAAUAGUGAAAAAUAAUAUUUGGUUGGAGUAGGUGGGAUAAGAAGGAUAGUGGAUUAUUAUAAAUAAAAAAUAGUAUUUGGUUGAUGUUUGGUAGGGUUAGGUGGGAUUAGCUAAACCGGAAUAACCCAUUUGAGGUGGGGUUAGCUAACCCUACCUAUUUUUUAAAAUGUUUGGGGAUAAUAUGGGGGUUAAGGGGUUAUUCCACCCCUUAACCCCCAGCCAAACGGUGGCUAAGAGUUGAGCUAGAGUGCUUUCAAAAACAUCAAAGAGAUGGUACUUUUGAGUUUUUAGUUUUUGGAUGAAGAAAUGUAGGGUUGAGAUGAUGGUGGUAGGUGAAAUAGUAUUUAAUCCAAAAACUAUUAGUAAUCAAGAAGUAGAUCUAAAGGCUAAAAAUUUAGAAGCACCAAGAAGAUGGUGCUUCUAAAAGUAUUCUAACUCAAUUCAAACUUUAAGUAUCAUCCCUGAUAUUGCGCACUUUUUUAUUAUAAUUUAAAAUGUACCACUUCAGUACCCUGUAAUUUUAUUUUUACUAUUUUCAUUAUUUUCUACGUUAAUUUUUUUGUUAAAUUAGUGACAAAUUAAAACCAUAUGGUAUUAAAGUGAAAAUUCGGUAAACCACAUAGUACUAAAGUGAAUAUUCGAUAAACUAUUGGUGGGAUAUCUGAAGUGUUUUGUAUAUGAUUUAACAUAGGGUUAAACGGAGGUACUGAGGAAAAGAAAAAAUAAAACCAUGAAAUAUUAAAAUGAUACACUUUAACACUAGGAUAUUAAAGUGAAAAAAAUGUAAAAUCACAUGGGUGGUAUUUGAAGUUUACCCUUAAUUUUAUGAUUUGGAUCCAAUUGGACUCUAGUUUGGUAAUGAGCUCUAAAAAUUACUUAAUUUUAUAUUUUGGAAAAAAUUAAAGAAUUACAAAGUAUUUUUAUUUUUUUUGUUAUGCAAUAAAAUUGCACUGAUGAGUGUCACUAGAAGAGCAUGUAUUUAUACUUCUAAAUUUUUUUUUACCAUUGUAAAAUAUAAAAUUAAAUAUUUAGAAAAUGCAUAAUCAAACUAGAUCUCUGUGGCAAGGGUCAUCUUCUUUUUUUUGAGAUAAUUUUGUACAUGAAAUUCGCAAUGUGAUAUAUUUUUGGAAUAAUUUCCUCAAUACCGUUCUAAAAAAAAAUAUAAUUUCAUAAAUAAAAUACAAAAAUAAAUAAAUAAAAUAAAAUAAAAAAAUAAAAAUUAUAUUAUUAUUUAUCAUAUUUAGAAAUUAUUUGAUUUCAUGUAAAACUAGUUCAAAGAUAUAAAAUAUUAUAAUAAUAAAUAUUAAUUAAUAUUUUUAUCUUAUUAUAUUAUCAUAAUUACUAAUUAAAUAAAUAUAACUAAAAAUAAUUUAAUAAUUAAAUUAAUUUAAAUGAAAAUAAUGUAAAGUGGUAUAUGUGUGAUGUAAAAUUUUUUAAGAGGUUAUUAGUAAUAAAAUUAUUUAAUAAAAGCACAUUGUCAAUGAUUAGAAAAAAAUAUUAAAAUUACUUAAAUAAAUCAAUAAAAUAAUAAAAAUAUAAAAUAAUAGAGAAGAUAUUAUUUUGUGCACCAGGUGUAUGAGAAAAAUUGAAAAUCUAAUACACAAUACCUUCUUAAAACCCAGAAAUUCUAUAAUUCUAUAAAUUCUAUAUUUUUUUUAUAUAGUUUAGAUUAGAUUGCGCGUAUUGGAUUAGAUUUUGAUUUUACAAUAUUAAUCAUUAAAAAAUAGAUUUGAUGUAGGUAAUUUAUCAGUAGACCGGGUGUAGGCAAUAAGUUUUCAUUGUUAAGAAGGGAAAGUUAGGACAAUAUUUUACGCACCAGGUGUAUCAGUAAAUUUUAUACACUUCAUUCUUAAAACCCCAUUAUAAAAAUUUAAGCCGUGAUAAUUUUUUAAAUAUAGACAUUUUAUGUAGAGUAAAUCAUAUCAUAACUAUUACAAAUUUUGUAUUUUUAUUUUGAAUUUAUUAUGUAAUAAGUAUUUGUGUUUUCAUAUCAUGCACAUAUGGGUAUACGUAUUCGAUCCAGACUCAAUCCGUAUUGGAUUUUGAGCAGGUAGUAUACAAAUAAUCACUAUCCAGACCUGCUCAACUGGAUCCGAUUGGUACAUUAAUAUAACUUAAAUAUCCAGAUCCAAACUAUUCCGAAGUUGAAUAGAUAAGGUAUAUUUUUUUUCUACCCAUUUUUUAGGAUAUGAGUAUAGUAUAUUACCUAUACAAAUCCGAUUUGAUCCAUAUACAUCUCUAUUGGCACGGCGGUCAUGUAUCUUGUGGAUAUUUUGUCGGCAUAGUGGCCAAGGCUCUUGCAGAUGAACACUUAAAUCCUUAAUCGAACGUUUUCUUCUACUUUAUGGGGGAUUUAGAAUUCACUUUACUACUUAAUUUUUUAAAUUUAUUAAAAAAAUUGUAAUAUUGGGUAGAUGAACAGUGUGAUGCAAUAUCUUAAGUAAAAUACAAUCUUGAUCUUCAGUCAUUAUUUUCGAAAUAAAAUAUAUUAUAUUUGUAAGUGAAAUAUGAUAUUCUACCAAAUAAAAUGAGCAAAAUUCAAACUCUUUGCUUCCAAUCACAUAAAAAAAAAAAAAAAAUUUAUAGUGAAAAGUUAUUAUUAGAUAACUUAUUCUGACAUCUAAAGAAUAUUUUUUGAUGGUAACAAAGAUUACAUUCUAGUCUUUAUUGCAUAAAUGAGCCUAAAUCUAUCAAAAUCUUGCUGCCACUCCGUCAGUCUAUUUUACUUGCAAUUUGCUUUGUUGAAGGGUACAAAGAAAAUCGGAAGGUGGAAGAGAAAUCCAAAUUAAUUUGCAAAAAAUAUUCAUGACUUAGAAAUUUUCUCUAAAAUUCUUCUUUACAAUCUUUCAAACUCUAAAGGAAAUAUCUGUCGGAUGGUUGUAAAAAAUUUUAUUAUGAACCACUCUAUGCGAUUGUCUAUGUUUAAUAAGUUUGUACCUUUGAAACUACUUGCAAUUGCUUCUACUCGUUUUGCUUCUUUUGUGGUGAUGCUUAAGAGAUUUAAACUUGUAAAAUGAGGUUUUCAAUCCAUGGUAAUUAGCGAUGAAUUAUUAUCAUACAAAGAAGAUGAUAUUGAAAAAGCAUUUUUUGUGAAGGAUAAAAUACUUGAUGAUAUAUGAUGAGACAAAAUUGACUAUAUCCUUUUAUUUACCAACCCUAUUUAUGAUGUAUUACGAAGAGGAGAUACAGAUAAACCUUGUCUGCAUUUAAUUUAUGAAAUGUGGGAUUCAAUGAUAGAGAAGAUGAAAGCGGCAAUAUAUCGACAUAAAAGAAAGCAAGAAGAUGAGGAGUCACGAUUUUACUCUAUUGUUUAUGGUAUUCUCGUUGAUCGAUGGACAAGAAACUGUACUCCUCUUCAUUGUUUGGCACAUUCUUUGAAUCCAAGGUAUGAUUGUCUCACUUUAUUUAUCUAUUAUUAGUAAAUUUUGUAAGCAAAUUUUAGUAAUAAUAUUUGUAAAUUUGCAAGUAUUAUAGUAAUAAAUGGCUUAAAGAAGAUAAAAACCGAAUACCUCCGCAUAAAGAUGUUGAACUUGUUGAGAAAAGAAAUAAUUGUUUGAAAAGAUAUUUUCCCAAUGCAAAAGAAAGAAGAUUGGUAAAUCUUGAAUAUGCUGCAUUUUCUGGUGCUGUGGAACCAUUUUCAGAAAGUGACUAUCUUUAUGAUAGAGUGGUGAUGGAUGCCAAAUCAUGGUGGCUCAUUCAUGGUGCACAUGCACCAAACUUGCAAAUAGUUGCUCUUAAAUUACUUGGACAUCCUAGUUCUUCUUCUUGUUGUGAGAGGAAUUGGAGUACUUACUCAUUUAUUCAUUCAUUGAAGAGAAACAAUUUAGUACCACAACGAGCAGAAGAUUUAGUAUUUGUUCAUACAAAUUUACGACUUUUGUCAAGAAGAAAGCAACAAUAUCAAGAAGGACUUACUAAGAUGUGGGAUAUCGCGGGAGAUAGUUUUGACUCUUUUGACGAUAUUGGCAUUCUUGAAUUGGCGAAUCUCUCACUUGAUGAACCAAAAUUAGAGAAGUUUAUGUUUACCGAUAAAGAUCAUGAAAACGAAGGUGAUGAAAGUAAAUAGGAGUAUUUUUUUAUUUUACUUGUUUUUUAGGCAUACGCAAUGUUUGAUGAUAAACAUUCUGGCUUUUGUUUGGAUGAUCUAAUUAAAUCAUAUUUGGACCAAAUUUUAAUUUUAAAAGUACUAUAUUAAUUUUCAUUCUUAUAAAAAAUAUAGUUUUGUUUGCAAAAUUAGUAUAUUACAUAUAAUAAAUAUGUAUUGUUAUACUAAAAAUAUUAUAUUUUAUUAGCUGUGUCCUUGCCGUGUCCAUGUCUUUAUAUUUUGAAUUUUGCCGAGCCGCCGUGUCCGAGUCAUGUCAUGUCCCGUGUCCGUGGCACAUAGCUUUCACCUCAUCAGCAUUUCGCGCUGAGUCGCAAUUUGUGCCUCCAGAAUCCGCCUAUCAAAAAUUGUACAUCAGAAUUUCGAAUGAUUAAGCUGAUACCUACAGUGCUAUCCUGUGAUUUCCAAAAUGCCCAGAAACGGAUCCAGAUGAUCAUAUUUUUUUGCACUCAGCACUUUACCACUGCUGGGAGAAGCUUCUGUAAUUCAGCAAAAAUUUAAGGUCAGCAUUGCCAGAUGGUGCAGAGUGCAGGGGUGGUUUUCACACUUUUAACUAAGUUUCUAAGAACAAUUGUAUGAGAAAUAUUUGAAAGCUCGAGGGCUCGAUCAACACAAGAGACAGCAGAUUAAGUGAAAAUCAUUGACCCAAGGAAAUCAUAUCCUUCCACACAAACCAAACAUGCUUGCACCAAAAACAUCAGCAUACGAGUUCAAUGAUAAAAAUAGAAACUGAAUUUUAUAACAUGAGACAACAAUUUCCUUCUUUUUCCUUUUUUUUUUUUUCCUGGCCCCCACUUGUUUGUACCAGCAGUAGUAGAAUUUCAGCAAGUCUAUAUAUACAGCUGAAUGCAAGAGGAGGUCUCUGCAUCCCAAGGAUGGCGGAGAUAGACAAAUAAAUCUACACCAUGUAUGACAAGCUCCACAAGAAUACUACAACUUACACUUUACAAAUAGGCUAAACUACACUUUUAGUCCUCAAACUAUGAGGUGCCUGAUAGUUUGGACCUCGCGCUUUAAUUUAUCGCCAUUUAUGGCUCGAACUCUCUACAUUGUUGCAAGAAAGUCCUACGACCAAAUUUAGUUGACUAAAUGUUGGCACGUCACUAAUGUGGAAGUUAUUUACCAUCUUAGUUGUUCUCGCGUUAUCAAUCACAAAGCUGUUGCAACACUUCCACAUUAACAACGCAUCAAUAUUUAGUUAGUUAAAUUGGAUUGUAGGACUUGAUUGUAAUAAUUCAAAAAGUUCAAGCAAAAAACUACAACUUCUAAGGUCCAAAGUUUCACGUGCUUCGUAGUUUUGAGGAUCAAAAGUAUAAUUUAGCCUUACAAAUAGCUAGAUAGAUAGUAUAUCGGCCGCAUAAGCAGUCCGUGGAGAGAGAUAUCGACUACACUGUAUCAAGCACCCACACAAUGUUCCCAAACUGCAUCACUUGAGUCGAAGCCCCCUCCUCUAUUCUUCUGAUCAUAUUUUUCUGUAGGUGCAUGGUUCACCUGAAAAUGCAGAGCAAAGUAUUGUAAGGGAGAUAAGAGGAGCCAAAAUGUCAGAGAGGAGUAUAGCAACUAAACGAAGAGAUCGAUCAUAUAAGCAAAUAAUUAUAUAGUUAUAUAUAGUGCAGUAUUUUUAUAAAAGCCAUCAGAAGGUAAAUCUUUCUAAUUGGUUAAGCAGGAAUUGAGAAGAUAAGUCAUUUUCACACGUCAAUGUGGGUUUAGGUAGAUUUUUGUCUAGCUCUUCUUUCAAAAAUAUAUGUAGAGGAAUAUCGUUAGAGUUCUCAUUGUUUUGGAUAGAAUCCAAAUGCCAUAUCCACAUAUCUAGUUCGAGCCGUCCAUAGUGAGGCAUGUUAUCUGGCAACUCAAGAAGGCAGUGCUUGGGUUUGAGUAGGCAAAGAAACUCCAGCUCGAAUGCAAAGUGCUUUUUCGUGGAAAGAUUAGUAUCCAAAUUUGUAGCUCACCAAGCACUCAUGCUUGGAGAGAGCCACACUUCGCAUUUCCAACUCCACAUGAAUGAUGAAAAAUGGGUGAUAGAGAUCCAGAUAGGUCGCGUAGAUACGAAAAUGUGCUUAUAAGAAGGUUUUCUUAUUUCUCCUACAAGUUGAAAUGCAAAGCAAGGUGUGACAAUUCGUGCAGCGUGAUGUCUGUCUCUGGUUAACAGAAUAACAGGCGAUUAAUAUCGGUGCCUGAGUACUACUAUGCAUAUACCAACCAUCGGACAAAAUUCAGAUGCGGCGCAAUACCAACAUAAUAUAAGAGCUUGCUUCAAAAUCAACACAUCAAACAACUAAUCAAAGAGUAAUCGAACCUUUGUUUUUUUCCUCUUGUCAUGGGAUUUCAUAGUUGGCACUAAUUCAGAUGCACCAGGACUGUAAGACUGCACAGAGCUAUCAUUUGCACCUCCAACAAAGGAAACAUUAUUCAAGGACAUGGCAUCAAUGUCACGCUUCAUUUUUCUAGCUGCAGUGUUCCCAUCUAUUGACAUGAAACUUCUGCCUUGUAAACUGCCGUAUGUCGCUGCAGCUAAAUCUUCACCAAGAGCACCUCUAGAACCGCAAAAAGGAGCAGAAACCGCCAUCCCGUCCAUCAUGGUAACAACAGAUCCGAUAGCAUUAACUGCACAACAAAGAGCCUCGGGAUUUGCUGAUUGAACCUGAAAGAUUCAACACCAUUAGAAAAAUUGAGUUGCACAAUUUGAAAAAUACACUAAAUCAAGCAUUAACAUUUAAAAGUGUGACUUGACCAAUUUCACAUCAAACAGAGUCUGUCAACUCUAUAGAGAAGGCACCAGAUUUUGAGCUAUUUAAGAGACUUGAAUUUUCAUUGUCACUACAACAAAAUAGACAUUUAGCGGCAAUUAUCAAAUAGCCGUUAUUAUUUAUUACUGAUUUAUAUUUUAGCGGCAAUUAUUUUAAACUAUACCUUUUUUACCGACUAAUAAUUUAUAUUAAAUACAUCUAUUUUGAACCCAAUACCACUCUAACCUAACCCUAACCUGAACCCGAACCAUUCUCACACGAGCAGCCUCUAAAGUACUACACCUUCUCUCCCUUCCCCCUGCCUCUACCUCAUCCCGCGCGAGCUCGAGCUCUCCCCCUCUCCUUCACCUCCCCUCUCUCCUCCCGUCCUCUCUAAGUUCCGAUCCCAUCCCCAAACCGCCAUCACUUUCGCCCCCGACCUUCUCGGCCCCCGAUCUUCUUGGCCCCGCGUGCACCGGCGCAACGUCGCUGUCGACCACCUCGAGCACCACCACAUCAUAGGCGUCAUCCACUUCACCGUUGCCGACAACGACUAGGAUCUCUAGUUCUUCGAGGCGAUCAGCUACAUAAAGUACGCAUCGCUCCUUUCCCCUCUUGGAGAUUAAGUGUUGAUAGAUUGGGAGAAAAGAGGAGAUUGCGAUUUGGGAGAGAAAAUUGACCUAAAUAAUAUAUUAUCAUGAGGAUCUUACAAAACUAAUCAAUCUUACAAGAUGCAUAAUAGAUAUCUGCACACUUAGUAAAUCAAAAAACUUGAACAUGUAUUCUCGGAUAGCUAAACUAGAACACGAGUAAAUUUUGUCCGAUUGAAACUCGCAUAGCAAUUUUCAUCCGAGAUUGUACUUCAUGUGAAUUUACCUGAGAAUUGUACUCAAUCUGUUCAAUUAGUGGAAGGAAUACAUAGAUUGAUUGCUAAGGACAGUUGAAGUGUCAAAGAAGUUGUGAUCAUCUGUCACGCCCCGAGCCCGCCUAUUUGGUCGGUUUCGGGCACGCUAACAGACCGCCGAACGAACAGGGUUUUCCCUGUACCGCGGACAGAGUCUCCCCUGUACGUCCAAGGCGUCACAAUCCAAACAAUGCAAUACACGAGGUUCAACCAGGAACAGUAUUCAAACAAGGAUUGCAUAAGAAAGUAUCAAAAACAUAAAUACAACUAUACUAUUACAAGCAUUCAUCUCAAAUUUUACAUAUUACAUGCAUCUUACAUUUUAAUCUUCCAAAUACAAUCCAAAUUAUUACAAAUUAUUACAACUUUGAUACAUCUUGUUCUUUUCUAUUCCUAUACCCCUAGGCUAUGCCGAUACGGAGUACUGCUAUCUCUGGUCUCUGGGGUAGGGCGCUAUCUACGGAGCUACGCUCUUUCCUUGCGCCGCCGCGCCGCUCGCGUGUGAACCUGUAACCCCUAAAACCACACGGGGGUGAAAACUAUAUAAAUAUAGUUCCCAGUAGGUACGGCCACCUAAGGGAAAAGCUCGACCCACUAGGUCCAAGGAGGCACUGCAAUCAUGUUAGUCCAAAAGAUAUCCACAAGUAUUUUAUGCAACAUUAAAAUACAUGAAUGUGCCUCACAAUAUGCAAUAUGAAAUUCAUGCAACUAUACAAGUAGAUUAAGCGUUUUUACUCUCUACCAUUGCCAUUCUUUAUUGUUAGACAUUCUUUACUACUUGCAAACCUUUCUUAUUAGCCACUGUUUAUUUUUAACCAUUCUUUAUUCUUAGCUGAUCUUUAUUCAUAGCCGUUCUCUAUUCUUUACUAAGGGUUCUCACACCUUAGCCAUAUUAUGCUCAUUUGCCACUCUUUCCUAAGGUUACUCUUACCUCAGUCACACUAUGCCACUCGACUCGGUCUUGAAUCAAUCAACUGCGGAUAAUCCGCGCUCUGUCCGGCUCGAGGUGAAGAAACUCUCACAUACACCUCAACCAACCACAGCCUACCGCGCUCCAUGACUUAGCCACCCGGCGGCGAAAUCGUCGCACACGCCACUACAAUGGCUCAAGUCAACCGGCGGUAUAAUCCACAAACCGGCUUAACUAUCCGGCGGCGAAAUCGUCGCACACGCCGCGACAAUGGUUUAGCCCCGGGCGGCGAAAUCGUCGCACACGUCCCACACCCCUCUCGGUGUGAUCUAUAAGUUCUGGGAUUCUGGAAUCCAUUUCACAUAACUCAAGGGUUGGUCUUAACCCUCUAGUAUCGUCCUAUCUAGGUCCAAUGUCCCAUCCAUCCUAGGUCUAAUUGACUCUAGGUUCAAUUUCUUUGUCACAUAACCUAGGUUUACAUGACUCUAGGUUCAAUUCUCAACCUAUGUUCUUUAACACUAGAUUCAAUGCCAGUCUUGACCAACCUAUAUUUAUUAACACUAGGUUAAAUGCCACACAUGCCCAUCCUAGGUUCACAACACUAGGUUCAAUAUCACUAGAUCUACUUGACACUCCACUUGUCCACGUCGAGUAUCAUAGUUUACACAUUCUUAACUUCCAAUGUCGCAUUCUCUAAUACACCUAGAGUUAUCAACCUGUGUUCAACUCAUAUGAAUCAAGUAUAAUAUACAACUUGCCAACUUGCAUGUUAUUUAGCAUUUUUAUCUUAUAUCAAUAUGCAUUUCAUCUAGCAUAUAUUACAACAUGCACAUCUCAAUUAGCAUUCUCUACAACAUGUCAUUAUGCAUUCCGACUACCGACUAGCAUGUUCUUAUAAUGUUUACAUGCAUAGGUCAUUUCUCUUUUGCUCUCAACUAGCAUCAUUCACAUUAUGUCAUCAUGCAUUCUUUGGUCGCCUACUUAACAUUCACCUCAUGCAUUCAUAUAUUUUACCACUAGCUAUCAUUAUAUGCAUAAAUAUAAAACCAUAUUUUCUUCGACAUGAAGGCGACCUAGUCACUUCGGUGAGCACAACCCACCUCGAUUCGUACUCCGAUUGCUUGUAGUCACUUGCAAUCGGCCUCCCGCGGCACCCGUUGCCCGGUUCGGCCAGAACUCGCACUCGACCACCAAACGGCCACCAAUCCACAAUCCGAAAAUUAAAGGUCUAUAACUUGAUGCCACGAUGCUCCGGAUCCGUUCUCAUGAUUUUUGGACGUCGCCUCGGCCCUCCAGGCCAAAACGAAGCCAAAACGUCUGUUUCUUUAAUAUCUUCGCACCGGCUCGACGAAUCGCCAAACCGACUUCGCCAACGCGUUCGUAUACCUAGCAAUUAGGUUUCUAUAGGGUUAAUUUAGAUCAAACCCCUAUAUAAAGCAAAACCCCCAUUAUGAACCAUAGCCUCUAGACAUGCUCCAAUUAACCCAAGUAUUAAGAAUUUAACAUACUAACAACACAUUAGAGGCUAUUAGAACACUUAAGCAUAAGGGUUAAACCAAAUCCCAAAAGCUUACCAAAAUGUGAACGCCGAGACGGAAGCACGCCGCGCAACCAGACGCACGAAGACCCGAUCUGACGCUCCCAACAUGUUCGCAAGCUCGCUCUCCGCCAACAACGCAAAUUUGAGAGAUCUAGAGAGAUGAGAGAGAUAUUUAGAGAGAGAAAGGGAGGGUUUCUCUAUCCUCCAUGCGUGCGUGUGUGGGCUGGUGUAGUGCUCGACUGAGGAAAAAGGAGACAACUCCUUUUUACACAAAACCCCCUCAACAUUACACUAUUCACAUUGGCAGUUUAGCAACUCAGGUACAGAUAUUUUUCGCUUGCCCUUCUGAAUGUCCGUUUGAGCUCAAAUUUGACAGUCAGGCCAGGUUUUACUUAACGAAAGAAAUUUUAAUCUUUCAGUUUCGACCACAUUUGGUCACCGAAAGCUCUACCGAACUGAAACCUCUAGCAGAUAGCAGUCGGAUUUUAUUUUUCAUCUUUCGGGUGUCAGAAUAGCAUGAAACUUUAAAUCUAGCAUCAUAAAAAUAUUUCUGACAUAUCCUCCAGUUUUCAUAAUUUUCUGACACUGCAUUUUCUGCUAAAAUAUCAGCCCCGGUUCUAACAAAAAAUUCUAAAUCUUCUGUUUUCAUUCCGAUUUCAGCACAAGUCGCUUCCGACUUAUAUUAUACUUCUCUAAAUCAAAUAAAAAUAGUAUCUCACACUAUUUUUAUUUAUUUUUAUUUUUAUAUCAAAAUCCGGUAUAUUACACCUACUUAGGUUUUGUUUUGUCCUUUUUUCAUUAGAAAAGUAGCUAUGAAGGCAUGUAGAGUUCUGCAUAAGCUUAUUUAUCUAUAUUCAGUUUUGAGCUAUUUCAUACCUUGUGAUUUGCUUACAUUCGUCAUCAGGUAGUGGCAAGGUUUUAAGUGCCUGUCGGUAGUGGUUUAUGUGUAGCUGUUGUAGAUGUCCGAAAUCGUGAAAUUAGAUUCAUCAGACAAUUUUAUCCCUUUUGUCAGCCACAAUUUUGGGAAAAAGUUUCGUGUUUCUUAUGUAAUUUGGCUUUAUGAAUUUUGAAGCAGGUUUAGUUUGGCUAAUUUACUCUAUUAUAGUCUGGCAAUGAUCUCAAUGAACUCUUAAUUUGAGCAAUAAUUGGUCUAGGCAAGAAUAUAUUGACGUGAUUGUUGGUGCAUAGCGUGAGUGGAACUACAUUGGCUAGCACAUGAUAUAUAGUCCUUAACUAGUUCCAUUUUACGCCUCCAUACCAAAUGUGCAAGCACAGACUGUCAUUUAGCGGUUCCUCGAAAUUUGUUUUCAGUAUUUUUCUUUGCCUGUUCCUUUCAUACUAUUUCCUUCUGAAUUUAAUCCAAGUUAGGGAUACUGUAUGUAAAGUGGGAUGCUUUAUUAUGUAAUUAGGUGCCUUACUAAAUAUGUUAUUCACUUGGAACACUCAUUUGUUAUAACUUGGUAAAAUCUUCAUUCUUCUGUCAACGAAUAUAUAGUUCAUUAUAUAUAUCUACAUGCAUUUAUUGAUUGAUUGCAGAAGUCUCUUCUAGUGCAAAAUCACCAUUCGUGUACUUUGUCGGAGAGAUUUAUGGUGGCAAUGCAUUAAGGAUCACAAUUGCUAUGGGAAAUGAGAAGAAACGUCAAAGAGUCUACAAUACAAUGUUUCAUGUGCCCUGGAUAUGUGAACGGGUUCUUACUAAACUUGUUUUUGCCCCGAAUUUCAGCAGUUAGAGAGUCCUUGAAAAUAGGUAUAAUUUGUUCAAUGUGGCACUUUUAACUAUUUGUGAUUUGGCUUAUACAUGAUACAUAUGUAAUUGAUUUGGCUCAAGGGUGUAUCUCUUGUAAUGAUUGAUAAUUUUAGACAACAUGAACAUUAUACUCAGUUGUAGAGUCAGGGACAAAGAGAU